rnacentral:rRNA from 1 species
GCAUGGCCCAUGGAAGAAAAGGUGGCCUCUACCUGUAAGCUAUCGCCUGAAGAGGGGUUUGCGUCUGAUUAGCUGGUUGGAGGGGUAACGGCCCACCAAGGCGACGAUCAGUAGCCGGUCUGAGAGGAUGAACGGCCACACUGGAACUGAGACACGGUCCAGACUCCUACGGGAGGCAGCAGUGGGGAAUCUUCCGCAAUGGGCGAAAGCCUGACGGAGCAACGCCGCGUGAGUGAUGACGGCCUUCGGGUUGUAAAACUCUGUGAUCCGGGACGAAAAGGCAGAGUGCGAAGAACAAACUGCAUUGACGGUACCGGAAAAGCAAGCCACGGCUAACUACGUGCCAGCAGCCGCGGUAAUACGUAGGUGGCAAGCGUUGUCCGGAAUUAUUGGGCGUAAAGCGCGCGCAGGCGGCUUCCCAAGUCCCUCUUAAAAGUGCGGGGCUUAACCCCGUGAUGGGAAGGAAACUGGGAAGCUGGAGUAUCGGAGAGGAAAGUGGAAUUCCUAGUGUGGCGGUGAAAUGCGUAGAGAUUAGGAAGAACACCGGUGGCGAAGGCGACUUUCUGGACGAAAACUGACGCUGAGGCGCGAAAGCGUGGGGAGCAAACAGGAUUAGAUACCCUGGUAGUCCACGCCGUAAACGAUGGAUACUAGGUGUAGGAGGUAUCGACCCCUCCUGUG